UGGCUUAGUGGCAUAAGCGCCUGCCUGGCAAGCAUGAGAUCCUGAGUUCAAUCCCCAG
rnacentral:tRNA from 1 species